rnacentral:rRNA from 1 species
UACGAACCGUACAACCGUUAUUCGGAAUCACUGGGCUUAGAGGGUGCGUAGGCGGCCAUGUAAGUGAGGUGUGAAAUCCCUCGGCUCAACCGAGGAACUGCGCUUCAUACUGCAUGGCUUGAGGGAGACAGGGGUAAGCGGAACUGAUGGUGGAGCGGUGAAAUGCGUUGAUAUCAUCAGGAACACCAGUGGCGAAGGCGGCUUCCUGGACCGGUUCUGACACUGAGGAGCGAAAGCGUGGGGAGCGAUCCGG